CCCUUAGAUGUUCUGGGCUGCACGCGUGCUACACUGAUAUUGCCAAUAUGUCAUUCUUAUCCGAAAUGGAUUGGGUAAUCAAGUAAUGAAAUUUCAUGCUUGGAAUCGGUAAUUGCAAUUUUAUCGUGAACGAGGAAUUCCUAGUAAGCACUAGUCAUCAGCUAAUGUUGAUUAUGUCCCUGCCCUUUGUACACACCGCCCGUCGCUACUACUGAUUGGGUGUUCAAGUGAGAUGCUUAGACCCUUGUUGCAUGGUUCAUUAUUGUGCUCCGAAAGGAAAAAGUUUCAAGCUUGAGUGUCUAGAGGAAGUAAAAGUCGUAGCA
rnacentral:rRNA from 1 species